rnacentral:rRNA from 1 species
GACGAACGCUGGCGGCGUGCCUAAUACAUGCAAGUCGAACGCACAGUUUAUACCGUAGCUUGCUACACCAUAGACUGUGAGUUGCGAACGGGUGAGUAACGCGUAGCUAACCUGCCUGGUAGCGGGGGAUAACUAUUGGAAACGAUAGCUAAUACCGCAUAAUAUUGAUUAUUGCAUGAUAAUUGAUUGAAAGAUGCUAUUGCAUCACUACCAGCUGGACCUGCGUUGUAUUAGCUAGUAGGAGAGGUAACGGCUCACCUAGGCGACGGUACAUAGCCGACCGGGGGGGGUGGUCGGCCCAACUGGGAAUGGGACCCGGCCCAGGGUCCCUAGGGGAGGAACCAGAGGGGAACUUCCGGAAUGGAGGGAAGGCUUGCCGGACAACGCCGCGGGAGUGAAGGAGGUUUUCGGGUCGUUAAGCUCUGUUGUAAGGGGAGAACGGGUGUGGGAGUGGAAAGUUCACGCUGUGACGGUAGCUUACCAGAAAGCGACGGCUAACUACGUG